rnacentral:lncRNA from 1 species
UCCCCAAAAAUUCCCCAAAUUCCCGAAAUUCCCAGUUUUUACCUCCAUCUGGGAGAUGUCCGAGGAGAUCUUCACCACUUUCUUCUCCUGGAUCCUGGAAAAAAUUUGGGAAAAACGGGAAAAGCUCAGGGAAGCUCCGGGGGGAUUUUGGGAUUUUUUUGGGGAUUUGGGAUUUUUUGGGGGAUUUGGGAUUUUUUUGGGAUUUGGGAUUUUUUGGGGAUUUUUUGGGGAUUUGGGAUUUUUUGGGGAUUUGGGAAUUCCCCAGAGGAAUUUUGGGAAUUUUUAGGGUGGGAAAAGCACCUGGGAUUGGGAGGGGAUUGGGAAUGUUGGGAAUUCCCAAAUCCCAAAAUUCCCAAAUCCUGAAAUUCCAAAUCCUGGGAAUCCCAAAAUUCCCAAAUCCUGAAAUUCCAAAUCCCGGGAAUCCCAAAUCCCAAAAUUCCCAAAUCCAGGAAUCCCAAAUCCCAGAAAUCCAAAUCCCAGGAAAACCCAAAUCCCGGAAUCCCAAAUCCAGGGAAUUUUCUCACCCCAAGGAAUCCUAAAUCCCGAAAUCCCAAAUCCAGGAAUGCCAAAUUCCCAGAAAUCCAAAUUCCAGGAAAUCCCAAAUCCAGGAAUGCCAAAUCCCAGAAAUUCCAAAUCCCAGAAUUCCAAAUCCUGGGAAUUCCAGAUCCAGGAAUCCCAAAAUCCCAAAUCCAGGAAUUUCCAACCCAAGGAAUCCCAAAUUCCCGGAAAUCCAAAUCCCAGGGAAUCCCAAACCCACAGAAUUCCAAUUCCAGGAAUUCCCAAAUCCCAAAAUCCCAAAUCCCAGGAAUUGCAGAUCCAGGAAUGCCAAACCCAGGGAAUCCCCAAAUCCCAGGAAUUCCAAACCCACAGAAUCCCAAAUCCAGGGAAUCCCAAAUCCCAGAAAUUCCAAAUCCCAAGAAAUCCCAAAUCCCAGAAAAUCCCAAAUCCCAGAAAUUCCCAAUCCCAGAAAUUCCCAAUCCCAGAAUUCCCAAUCCCGGAAUUCCCAAGCCCAGGGCUCCCGUCCCGUUCCCGAGUUUUUCGGGAAUUCUCACACGUCCGGCGACUUCAGCGGCGCCUCCUCGGCCUUCCCGGGCGGCUCCGGCGCCUUCGGCUCCUCCUCCUGCAAAUCCCGGAAAAUCCAUGGGAAAAAUCCAUGGAAAUUCCAUCAUAUCCAUGGGAAUCCCAUCAAAUCCAUGGAAAAUCCCCGGAAUUCUGUUCCAGGCAGGAAUUCCAUCCCAAAAUCCCAAAAUUCCCUUUUUUUUCCUGGCAUUUCCCCAUCCCAGGGAGCAUCAAACCCAAAAUCCCCGAUCCCAAAAUCUCAAAUUCCAGGGAUCCCAAAAUCCUGGGAUCCCAAAAUCCCAAAUUCCCGGAUCCAAAAAUCCCGGAUCCCAAAAUCUGGAAUCCCAAAAUUCGGGAUCCCAGAAUCCCCGAUCCCAAAAUCCCAAAAUCCCGGAUCCCAAAAUCCGGAUCCCAAAAUCCCAAAAUCCGGA